AUGCAGGUUUUCUUCAAAACCACAAAAAAAAAAAAAAAAAAAAAGG
rfam:Podiceps cristatus contig30267, whole genome shotgun sequence.